CGGCCGCGUCGACGUGGGGUAAAGGCCUACCAAGGCAAUGAUGCGUAGCCGAGUUGAGAGACUGAUCGGCCACAUUGGGACUGAGACACGGCCCAAACUCCUACGGGAGGCAGCAGUAGGGAAUCUUCCACAAUGGACGCAAGUCCGAUGGAGCAACGCUGCGUGAGUGAAGAAGGUCUUCGGAUCGUAAAGCUCUGUUGUUAGGUGAAGAAGGAUAGAGGCAGUAACUGGUCUUUAUUUGACGGUAAUCAACCAGAAAGUCACGGCUAACUACGUGCCAGCAGCCGCGGUAAUACGUAGGUGGCAAGCGUUGUCCGGAAUUAUUGGGCGUAAAGCGCGCGCAGGCGGUCCUUUAAGUCUGAUGUGAAAGCCCACGGCUCAACCGUGGAGGGUCAUUGGAAACUGGAGGACUUGAGUGCAGAAGAGGAAAGUGGAAUUCCAUGUGUAGCGGUGAAAUGCGUAGAGAUGUGGAGGAACACCAGUGGCGAAGGCGGCUAUCUGGGCAGUUUAUUGACGCUGAGGCUACGG
rnacentral:rRNA from 1 species